AGCUUUGUGCAGUGGCAGUAUCGUAGCCAAUGAGGUUUAUCCGAGACCUGGUUUUUGCUAAUUGAAAUCCUUUCUCAAUACCCCACUCUGACGACUUGCAUUACAGUCGGCACUGGCAAUUUUAAAGUCUUUAGGGAGA